AGGUACUUAGGGGCUGAGGGUGGGGACUCUAGAACAUCCUGAAAAGGGGAAGCACUAAGCCAAAUAAUAAAUGGGACAUGUGAGUCUGUCAGCAUAUCCUGUAUAGCAUCACUUUGUUGUGACUCUCACGCCAUUUAGAAGGUUGCAAAGAAGUAUCAUUGCAUCUGGAGAAGGUCUUCCUCUGUGCAGCUGGACUACCAGGGCCACAGUCAGGUCGUGUUGGGUAUAUUCUGUGAGACUUCACUAGUGCUUGGGUUCUGGGGAAAAAAGAGAACACAGGCCCAUGCCAAGGGGGAAAUGCAGAGGGAGGAAUUCAGAACUCAGAAAGGAUCUCCAACAGCAGAAUCUCCAUCGUAAAGAAGGAAACAUGAACCAUGACAGUCUCACCCUCUGCAUAAACAUCAAAGGGAACAUAUCCGGAAUAUUCAGCUAGAUGAAGAGUGUGAAUUCAUCACAGAUUCCUCCUCAGCAUCUGUCUAGACUUAAAAUAAGCAGAUCCAGAAAGAUUACUGCGUCAGAAGCGAGGAGAAUCCUGCCAAAGGUGAAUUGCCUCUUUCCUGAGUGCUGUCAAGAG
rnacentral:lncRNA from 1 species